rnacentral:lncRNA from 1 species
GCCGCAGAAAAAAAGUGUUCAGGCUAAAAGUUAUUAAAUUAAAAAAUAAUUAUGUCAGAUUCAUUAAAUAUGCUUUAUGGCAAUUGACUUUGUUGUAUUUCUGGCAGAUAAUACCGGGACUGAAUAAAUACGCAAUUUGUAAAGGGUGGCUUGAUUAUGUAACUAAUCAGCCAAUGCUAUUAACUGCUGCUUUUGCAGCAAGUCAGUUAAUUUAUUCUAUGUGUUUAACUAUUCUUACGAAAAAUGACAACAAAGUCAAUUUAGAAAUUGAUUUAAAACAUGAAUACUUCCAACGAGAAAUGUUACGCAAAAAGAAUUCUUCACUUAGAAAGGUUACCUUGUUCAUAUCUUUUUAUACAAUAAUGGCUACUAUUGUGUCUCAAUUUCUGAAUGUAUAUUUUUAUUAUCCCGGAGUAGAAAAAGGAAAAAAAUUUGAAAGCGAGCCACUGCUAUGCUCUAUUCUGUAUGCUCUAGGUAUGAUACCUGCAUUAACAGGAUUUGCAUUGUCUAUAUUAUUCGUAGGUUUAUUCUUGUUCACCGCCUAUAUAGAAUUUCAAAAUGUUUCGUUUCAACUUUCCUCAUUGAACAAGAAAUACAAGAACAUGCCGAAUAUAUUGAAAGAAUUGAUGCUACGACAACAAGAAUUGUGGAUUUUCGUCAAUCAACUUAACACUAAACUUAAUUAUCCAUUUUGCAUUAUGUAUUUUUCUGUUAUGUGGAUAACCAACUUUUGGUUUUACACAUACCUAUUUGUAGAUGUGAAUGAUUCAAUGCGUAUAAUUGCCAUAAUAAUGUCCAUAAUUUGUACCUUCGUGUUUACAAUUUUGGGUUGUUUACUGUCUUGUUUCGCAUUUUCGGUAAGUAUUCAUGUUAACGAUUUAUUUUUUUCGAAAGCUAAUUUCUUACUUUUUAGAUGCAGAAUGGUUUUCAAGAUAUUCGUCAAUUUGCAGAUUGCAGUCUCAAACUGGAACUGAAACUCAAGAUUUUAGAUUUUAUGAAGAGAUUUGGAAAAGUUUCCUUGUGUCUUUCAAUCGGUGGUUUCUUUGCUGUGGAUAAGAAAAUUAUUUUCAAGAUGGCGAGUACAUUGCAUUCUAUUCUUUCAGGACUUUUAAAAUUAAGGAAUGCAUCGAAAAGGAACAGAAAAUGUAACAAAAUAUUCUUAUCUAAUUCUACUGAAUAUAACUAAUGUACAGCAUAUGAAAUCUCGUUAUUGGUGAAUGUUUCAUCAGCGAAGAAAUAUGUCACCGUUGUAAUAUUCAUGAUAUGAAAUUAAUGCAACUUUCAAUAGACUUAUAUGUGAAAGAACAAAAUUCUUUCGUAUUUCAAAAUUCAUAUCUGAAUUGAUUUUCAAACUUCAAGUGUAAUGCGUAGGUAGGAAAUUAGCACACACAACAUGACAUUUUUUGUACUGUUACACGGCUCUGUUUGCAAAGGAACAUUAUAGGAGCAGUAAUGAACUAUCAAAAUGGUGGUUUUAAGUCAUUAUUUAAGAUUGCUUUUUCAAGAAAGAAAACAACGGUAAAUAACACUGAUGUUGAUAAAUUACACAUUUAAUGUGUUCUUUGCUUGGAAUAAACUCAAAAAGGAUUGAUAAUGCUAAUUUUUCAAAGUUAUAUAAAAGUCCAAUUUGAACAACUGCAGAAAUGAAAAUGAUCGCAUAUUGUAGAGAGAAAUAAUUGAAAAUCGACGUUCGUGUCAAAUCAUUUGCGAAUGAUCUAUUAUAAAAGUUCGAAAAUCACCAAGACAGAGUUUGUUUUAAGCAUGAGACAUUACAUAAGAUAUUGUUAGUAUUCAUUCUCUUUGUGUGUAACAGAACGGAUUCACAGAGUUUUCUUUAAAUUACAGCAAAGGUCAACCGCAGAUAACUACGCAUGAAAAUCUUUCUUGUACGAUAUUUUCAGAGCUAUUUUUUGGCUCACAAUUUCAGUAGCGAUGAUUUCGAUUGUUAAAGCUAAGAACCUCCAGGGGUGGUUAUUUUUUUAAACUUUGUAUUCACGGCAAUCCCUUAAACUAAAUUACUGAAGUAAAAUCACACGUUGCAACGCCUUGCAUAGAGUAUUAACCCUGUUUCAAUGGUGUCUGUAGUGAUAUAUUAUAGAAGAGUAUCAAACAAACUUUUUUUUCGGCAGUGACAUUAUAUAGAGUAAAAUUUAGUUGGUAAUAUAAGAAUUACCUAAAUUCA